AUGGAGGAUGUGAUCUACGAGGGUGGGCAGGGCCGUGCCUACGACCCCGAGGAGACCCAAAGUCAGGAUGGCCGCGCCCAGUACGAUCCCGAUGAAGAGGUCGACGACUGUGCUGACUACGACCAUGGUGACUCGUGGCAUGAAGACGAUGACAUCUAUUGCGAAGGUGAUGGUGAUGAAGAAGAAGGCAAUGGCAUUGAUAUUGGUGGCGAGCCAUUGUUCAUCGACGAGCUCACCCAAAGAGCGGAAGCACAAAAGAGGGGGAAGAGCAUUCGCAGGGGUUCAUAUACACAAGAUGAGCACAAGUUGAUUUGCCAAUGUUGGAUGGAGAUUAGCCAAGAUCCGAAGACCGGCGCGCAACAAAAGGGCCUUGUUUUUUGGACGAGAGUCCACAAAACAUUCCAUGAAAGGAAGAUGUUCGAGCCCUACCAAAUGACAAGCAACCAUGGCAUCACCUCGAUUCAAAAGAGGUGGUUGUUCAUCCAACAAGAGUGUAACAAGUAUUGCGCCGCAUUUGAGAGCGUUGAAACACGGCCCGUGAGUUGUCUCGGCGUUGGGGACAUGGUAUGCUCUCCUUAUCCUAGUCCUUUCCUUGCUACAGCCAUGAGACUUCGGCCUUGUAUAUGUUUGCAUGUUCAAUUGUUGUUGAUCAUGUGGUGUAGGCAUUUCAAUCUUUGGAAGCAUUCAAGGCCCGGCACAAUGACAAGCCAUUCACUCUUACACAUUGUUGGACGAUCAUCAACAAUUGCCCUAAGUUCAAUGAUCAAUACCGUGAACUUCAAAGGAAGAGAGGCAAGAAGACGGCCAAGUUCGCCGGAGGUGGAGAUGGCGAGGCAUUGGAGAGGCCGAGGGGCAAGACCAACUCCAAGGUGGACGACAUACGUGAUGCCUCAUCCAUGGCCUUGCAUGAGACUUUGCAUGGCAUGA
rnacentral:rRNA from 1 species